AUAAGUCCAGUAAGGAAGUAUUAGAAUAUAUUUCGAAAUCUCUGAAAUCUACUUGCCGUAUAGUUGAUACUGUAUCAGGACACCUCGAUUGUAUCUAUGUGUAUCUAUAAAUACAAUAUACCAUGACCCAAUUGGAUCACCUCCUCAAUUAUCUACAUGAUAUCAGAGCCUAGGUUACAAUUUCUCCCCCCACAAACUCUAACCUUCCAGCCAUUCUCCCACCCUUUUGCCGGUCAAAAAUGGCGUCCGCAUCUCAAGCCUUCAGCAGUGACAAUAGCCAAACAAAUCCAACCCUUGAUACCUUUGCUGAUAUUCCCCUCAAUACCUCUACGGAUGUUCCCACCAAUGCCCCCAUUGAGGCUCUGCCUUCUCCCUCACUAGCCCAGCAUACUCUUCCUGCUGCUACCAUACCCACCGGAACUAUAAUAGCUCCCAACAUAUCGAACCUCGUCCACAUCUCGCUUAAGGAUUCUAACUACAUGGUUUGGAAGACAUUGUUUUCUACUUUUCUCAGGUCUCAUGAUCUUCUUGGGUUCGUGGAUGGAAGCCGUCCUUGUCCUCCUGUCACCGACCCUCUCUUUGCUUCCCGGUACCAGAUAGAUGACAACAUAAGUUUGUUGCUCUUCUCCAACCUCUCGGAGCAAAUUUUGGAAGAAGUUCAUGACCUACCCACGGCUCAGUAGAUUUGGGAGGGAUUACACAAUCGGUUCGUUGAACUCUCCUGUUCUCGUGCUCUUGACAUGAAGGUGGAGCUGACUCGCAUCAAACUGAAGGACUUCAAGAAUGUGGAGUUGUAUGUUCACCAUUGCAAACAACUAGCGCAUCAACUCAAAGAGAUUGGUCGGGUUAUCGAUGACAAAGAACUCAUCACCUAUGCCCUCACUGGACUCGCUCCUUAAUACAAGUCUUUCAUUACUUCCUUGAAUAAUGAUCGGGAUCCUCUCUCCUUUGGUUCCCUUCGUAAUAGUUUAAUGUUCCACGAGAAUAGUCUCCGACGGAUAUAGUGGCCGGGGAGGAGGAGGUCACUACAGUACUACGGGUCAUCACUCAAUCAGGUGGCUGGGGAGGACGAGGUCGUGCUGGGCGGUGGUCGCAGCAAUGGUCGCUUGAACCAAGGGGUGAUCGCCUAGGAGGUCGCUACAACAACAAUGGCACUAGUCGUGGGUACCAUCAGCAGCAAGGUGCCCCAGUCACUCACCUGGAUGCGGGAAUGGUGGUCGCGGAUAUGGAAACAAUCGUGGCAGUCAUGCCAGGAUUGUGUAUGGUCGUGGGCAAUCAUCCACCUCACAAUAUUUGGUAAGGUCCUCUAACAGCUUUUCUCCGGUCUAUGGGGGUAUACUGGGCCAUGGACCUAUAAUCGUUAUUUGUCAAUUGUGCAACACAGUUGGAUAGACCGCUCUUCAAUGUCUCGAUUAUUACUCCCAAAAUCGGUCUUAAUCUUACCCAAAGUCUUUUGUUGCGCUGAACCUCAAUGACAUGCCGCCACCUGACACUUACCUGGACUCUGGUGCAUCCUCCCACAUAAUUCAAAAUGAAGGACAAUAUUUCGAGGAAGAUACUACUCAGCUGCCCCUCUAGUGAGCAUCUCUAUCCAAUCCAAUUAUCUCAAUCGAGGGCUCUUUUUGCCACAACCUCUGCAGCUUCAGUAUGGCACAAUCGUCUAGGUCAUCCCAAUAAGUCGGUCUUGGAAGCCCUUACAUCUAGAAAAUUAAUUCCGCAUUUUUCUCUCGAUAAAGAUAUUUGUGUUUCUUGCAAUUUGGGCAAGUCCUCUAUGUUGGCUUUUUCUUAUGUGAACCAUAAUAUAAAGUUCCCUUUGGAAUUAAUACA